rnacentral:rRNA from 1 species
CGCGUUAAUGAGUAGGAGGGCGUGAAGGUCGUGAAGAAGCUCGUGGCGUGAGCCUGAGUGA